rnacentral:rRNA from 1 species
UACAGAGGGUGCGAGCGUUAAUCGGAAUUACUGGGCGUAAAGCGCGCGUAGGCGGCUUUGCAAGUCGGAUGUGAAAUCCCCAGGCUUAACCUGGGAACUGCAUUCGAGACUGCAUUGCUAGAGUAUGGGAGAGGGAUGUGGAAUUCCAGGUGUAGCGGUGAAAUGCGUAGAUAUCUGGAGGAACAUCGGUGGCGAAGGCGGCAUCCUGGACCGGUAUUGACGCUGAGGCGCGAAAGCCAGGGGAGCAAACGGG